GUGAGCAUGACGUGGGAUUUUUCAUCUGGAUGGAGUUAUAAGAAGCUAAGUUUGAUGAAUGACUUCCAGAUAUACUGGCAGCCCUAGGAUGCAUCACGGCCCUUGGGAUGGUGGUGUUCUUCCCACUCCAGAUGUUUGAUGUGUCGUCUUCUUCCAGAACCCUGAGAGCCUUCCGCCAAUCCCCACACCUCCAUUCUUUCUGCUGGACUUCUCAGAGGUCAUCCCAUACAUGGCGCUCUGCCACAGCUUCCCAGAAACAGAUCAGCAAACCCUCACCAGCGAGAAGGAAGCUAUCCACAACCCAGGAAGAGAGCUCUCACCAAGAACCGAAUCUGCUAGCACUUUGGACUUCCCAGCCUUCAGAACGGUUGGGGAACUUGGAUUUGGGAAUUGGAGAGGAAGAAACUCCAGCUUCCCUCUGAGGACAGCACAGCGUGAUAAAGUAGAGGCCACAGAGAAAACACGCUGAAUAAAGAGCGUUCAACUGAGGCAACCCGAGAUGCUGAAGCCUUUCCUGGGUGCUUCAAAUCCCCGGCAAAGAUGAUUUGUAGGUCCUAGUGUGGAAAACGGUGAAGAACCUGAAUUCAAUGUCCUGGGUGAUUUGGAGGGCUGCCAAGGGCUGAGACAUGGAAC
rnacentral:lncRNA from 1 species